UGGGGAAUCUUGCGCAAUGGCCGAAAGGCUGACGCAGCGACGCCGCGUGUGGGAGGAAGCUCUUCGGGGUGUAAACCACUGUUGCCCGGGACGAAACUCUCCUUUUGAGGAGAUUGACGGUACCGGGUGAGGAAGCACCGGCUAACUCUGUGCCAGCAGCCGCGGUAAUACAGAGGGUGCGAGCGUUGUCCGGAAUCACUGGGCGUAAAGGGCGCGUAGGCGGCUCAGUAAGGUUGCGGUGAAAGCCCGGGGCUCAACCCCGGGUCGGCCGUGGCAACUGCUGGGCUGGAGCACUGUAGAGGCAGGUGGAAUUCCGGGUGUAGCGGUGGAAUGCGUAGAGAUCCGGAAGAACACCGGUGGCGAAGGCGGCCUGCUGGGCAGUAGCUGACGCUGAGGCGCGACAGCGUGGGGAGCAAACAGGAUUAGAUACCCCCGUAGUCC
rnacentral:rRNA from 1 species